UACGAAGGGUGCUAGCGUUGUUCGGAAUCACUGGGCGUAAAGCGCGCGUAGGCGGCUUUUCAAGUCAGGGGUGAAAGCCCACAGCUUAACUGUGGAAUUGCCUUUGAAACUGUAAAGCUUGAGUGUCGGAGGGGAUAGCGGAAUUGCUAAUGUAGAGGUGAAAUUCGUAGAUAUUAGCAGGAACACCGGUGGCGAAGGCGGCUAUCUGGACGACAACUGACGCUGAGGCGCGAAAGCGCGGGGAUCAAACAGG
rnacentral:rRNA from 1 species